rnacentral:rRNA from 1 species
UACGUAGGGGGCAAGCGUUGUCCGGAUUUAUUGGGCGUAAAGAGCGUGUAGGCGGUUAGGUAGGUCCGUUGUGAAAACUCGAGGCUCAACCUCGAGACGCCGAUGGAAACCAUCUAACUAGAGUCCGGAAGAGGAGAAUGGAAUUCCUGGUGUAGCGGUGAAAUGCGCAGAUAUCAGGAAGAACACCCGUGGCUAAUGCGGUUCUCUAGUACGGUACUGACGCUGAGACGCGAAAGCGUGGGGAGCGAACAGG